rnacentral:rRNA from 1 species
GACGUAGGGCGCGAGCGUUGUCCGGAUUUAUUGGGCGUAAAGAGCUCGUAGGCGGCUUGUCGCGUCGUUCGUGAAAACCUGCAGCUCAACUGCAGGCUUGCGGUCGAUACGGGCAGGCUAGAGUUCGGUAGGGGAGACUGGAAUUCCUGGUGUAGCGGUGAAAUGCGUAGAGAUCAGGAAGAACAUCCGUGGCGCAAGCGCCUAUCUGGCCAUGACCUGACGCUGAGGCACGAAAGCGUGGGGAGCGAACCGG